CAUAUUUUUUUCCUCCAUUCGAGAUUUUGAAUCAAUCUUUAGUGUCAUGGACACAAAGUUUGAAGUUACAAUUGGACAUACCACUCACAUCGACCGAUGCCUAGGAAUUUUCUAGUGAGCUACCUAUCAAAAGAUCUAUUAUUUAACCAAUCAGCAAUGUAUCCGAUUGGACCUCAUCUAAAACUAAACGAAAAGUAAAUGAAUCGACCAAUCACAGUUGGAAAUUAAUGGAGAAGAGUGGGGAUUUCUCACGCAACAAGAAUAAUACGAUUUCCGUUUCGUUUUCAUUCAUUUCCUUUUCUUCUACGAUGUGGUUGAUAUGUAUCGUGCCGAUCCAUGUCUCGCACGACAAAUUGCGGGAACACGAGAUGAUUAUUACAUCUAUACUACAAUUUUUAAGGGAAAUUUGCAUGAUUUGAUUUGGAAUAAAAUUUAUUCUUUAAGAUGACUAACAUAUAUCACUCCAUAUUCUCAAAAAUGAAGGAUAUUGACAAAAAUCUAAGAAUUAGAUUAGACCUAUGCAAGCAUUUUUGAAGGAAAUUUGCAUAGAAUAUAAAAGAAUCUAGAAUUUAAGUUGGAAAGGAAUAAAAUAUAUUAUUUCUUAAAAUAUCCAACAUAUAUCACUCCAAAAGUUUUCAAAAAUGAAAGAUAUUGACAAAGAUCUAAGAAUUUUUAGGAAAAAUAGAUAAUACAUAGAAAGGAACAAUUGACUGUUGAUUGUUAAUAUAUUUUGCAUUGUACCAAAAUUUGCACUGGAGCAGUUUUGGUUACAAAGAUAUUAAUCAACAUGAAAAUAUCUCUUCUACUGAAAAAAGGAAAAAUAGAUAAUACAUAGCAAGAAACAAUUGAUUUUGUUGAUUGUUAAUAUACUUUGUAUUAUAUUUAAAUUCGCAAAAUAUAAAACUGGAGCAAUCUUGAUUACAAAGAAAUUAAUAUGAGAAGUAUCUCCUGCUGAAAAGUGAAAGAAAAAGUGAGAUCAUGAAAUCAAAUUGAUUGAUCGUUUAUUGGAUAUGUUCAAUGAGUAAAAAUAGCUGAAGUACGAUGAUUACAUUAAUUCAGCUAUGAAGAUCUGCUAAAUUUAUCUACAUGAACGGCUAUCUUCAUGAGCAAACUUAUUCCGACUAAUACCAUCUUCAAUAGCAAUGCAGUAAUUGUUCGAGGACGAUUAUGUACUUUGUUGCUAGAGGGUUGCUCGAAAGAGAUGUUUUGAAAGUUCUCUCUGGAUGGAGAGUGCCAGGUGUAUUCCUAGCUAUAUGUCUUCAAUAUCGCCCUCAGGUUAUAUGACACAGGUCCUUUGUCUCCUCUUCCUUUUGCUUUUCCCUAUAUAAUUUUAUUGAUAUUUUUGAAAAAUUGAUAAAUACUAAUAAUCCAGUCCUGCCUCUUCAACAUUAAUAAUCAUAUUCUUCACUCACUCCCAGUUGUCUCAAACAGUUAUUUAUUUUUUUUCCUCUUCAUCAUACUUAUUAUACUGCCUUAUCACAUGAUUCAUGCUCUCAUAUUUAUAUCCAGAGAUGUGCUUUGUUGCCAGAGGGUUGCUAGAGUUAUCCUUUUCCAACUGGUUAUGAUCAUACAAUUAAAUGUUUAAUAUUUCAAAAAGAUAUUGAAAAUAU